rnacentral:lncRNA from 1 species
ACAACAGCCCCCCCUUCUCACCUCCCAUGGCUGCCGAGAAAUCCCUCCAAAACUACCAAAAUUCUUUCCCAAAUCAUUACAUGGCCCCCCCCCCCCUCAUGGUCCCCUCCUCUCAUAUUCCUUCCACGUCAUCUAAAUCUACAACGACCUCUGCCAACAGAAUAGUCUCGUUCCUGUUCACGCGGUUUUGAAAGUGAUUUUUGUAUGAAUGGGAGAUAUAGAUUGAUUGUGAAUCAAUCUUGACCUUCCAUUUGUCCCAAAAUCAUUCACCAAAAGAAACUUAGAAGGUUUUGAAUUUUUUGGAUAAUUUUUGGAGGUGAUUUUUGGGAGAUUUCUUGCAAAGGAAGGGGAGAAACUUCCAAUCUUCCUAUAAAUAGGAGUUUUUCGGACAGAAAUUGGGGAGAAAAAUUUUGCAAGAAAACUAGGGUUCUAAGGCUUUUGAAGGCUCUCUCGAGUUUUACUAAAAUUUUAUUUGGUUUUCUUUCAAAAAAUACAAACAGUUCGAAUUUCACUUUGUUCAAGUCCUUGUUUCAUUUCAUCAAAAAAUCAGAGAAGUUCAAAAAAAAUAUACAUUUAGUUUCUUCUUUUGGUUUCGGUUUCAACAUGGAGAUCGAUUGAUUCGAGGUUGAGUUCGUUGUUCGAGUUUUGGUUCGUGUCCGAGUUGGUUCCCUGCUCUGUUGCUUCGUUGUUGAUUGGAUUUUCAUUAGCUAUUUUCGCUCUCAAAUUCGUCGCAACUCUUCUUAUGUUGUACUCGAUUCCUACAGAAUUAAUCGAAAGCUUAAUUUCCAGGUUGGUCUUCCUUUUCUUACUCUGGAAUGAUGGUUUGAAAUAUGAUUAGAAAUAUGAAUUUGCUUGACAUGUUUUAGAGAUAAAUAAUCGAAUCUGGGCGUCAACCGAAACAAUCUCAUGAUAUUCAUAUAGUAUUACAUUUGGAUAUAGCUACAUCAUCGGGUGUUUUGUUUUUCUUUGGUAUUCAAUGAAGUGCUUCGAUUCUGCCCUGUUUUAGCAUGUCGGAUGGUAGUUUAAUCUGAUUCUUUGAUCCUUGAUUUAGUAUGUGUGACUAUUUGAAAUAUUAGUGUUUAAUCGUCUUGUGUUCUACACGAUAAAUAUGGAGUUCAUUGGAUUUACUAUUUUAGUUUAUUUGUUGACAAGAAUCUGUUGCGAUAUUGAAGUGUUAUUAAUCAAGAAGUAACAAUUACAAGUUCAUUUCUUCCUCCCUUAGUCUUGUUUUUUUGGUGUCGAUCAAAGUAUGAUAAGAGCCGAGGUCUAGUUAGAUUGGCAAGAUGAUUAAGAGUUGAUUCAAAUUGGGUUGAUUUGGAACUAAAUUGGUAUGAACAUCUGUUAGUCGAAUUUGGAUUCCUAUAUUGUGUUGACUGUCCCUUUUAGCUUCGUUCUGUUUUGCUCUAACACGAGUGAUCGUGGUUUUGUGAUUCUGUUUGCCGACUAGUGUUUGUCACUCGGAUUAUGAAUCAGUGAGGCUUUUAUUUUGCAGUUUCUUCUAGUGUCUCGUGAGUUAGAUUGAAAUAGAGAGUUGAACAGAAAGGUAUAUGUGAAUCUGUUUUGUUGAAAUCUGUCAUAUUUCUGUGUUUAAACUUGGCUACUCUUCCUCAAUAUAGUUUGAUCUUUCUCACAUCCUAUUCGACUAUGUUGACCAUGAAACUGAUUUUCUUAUGAUGAUACUCUGAUGUCCGUGUGGUGCGUUGGAAGUUAAAUAUGAUUUCUAUUAAGAUGCGUUAGAUUGUUCAAGUAGUAUUUGAAAUCACUCUUGUUUAGAGGUUACGUCAAUUUCAAUCUUUCAAUUACAACAGAUUCCCAUAGGUUCAUACCAUUAUGUUUGAUCAUUUAGAUUGGCAUUGUAUCUGUUUGCUUCAGUCCUUCUUAUCGGUCUACUCGAGUUCGGGGUGUUAAAUGAUUCUUGGGUUUGUUCUCCGAUGAUUCCUGUUUGUCGUUGCUUCUGUUGGCCCCUUAUGAUGUUAAGAGACUUAUUGUGAAUUCCUGCCGAGCUUAGUCAAGUUUCCUGGUGAGGUAUUUGUUACUAUUUUUUGUUGAGAUAUGCAUCAAUAUGGUCUAUCUUUGGUCGUAAGUUGGGUGCGUCAGGAUGAAAGUAGAACUAGUCGUAGUUCCUAUUGUCUUUUCGUGAUUGUUAGUCAUUUAUCUGGUUGAAGCCUCUCUUGUGAUUAAAAUUGGCGUGAUCAAUUUUCGUUACAACGUAACAUCAGUAAGAGCAUUGGGUGAUUUGAAGAUGAUUUGUUAAUGCUGAAAAUUUUCCAUGUCCUAGUAUUCAAUUAAACUAUCAUUUCCAGAGGCAAAUUUGAUUAGUUUCGUGUUCAAAUAAGUGUGGAUCAUGGUACCUUGCUUUGGAAUUGUAGGAAAUGUAACUGUUGGUCUGUUAGACACAUAGAUUAUAGUUUUAUGCACUAAUAAUUAAUCCUAUUUGCAAAUUGACAUGCUUCUGUUGGAAGUGCAGCAGUAACAUCUUUGUCAUUUUGAAGGAAAGACUACUAAUUCAGUGAGAAAAUAAGUUUCAUUUUGAAGUGUGCUACUAAGUCUAGUGCAGUGAAUCAUUAGGAUUAGUGUUAAAAUAAGUCUAAUGGGUUAGAUGGCUCUUAUCAUACUUUGAUCAUCCAUUUUAUUUUUCUCGUUUUCUUUGUAUUCCUGAUGCUUUGUUUGGAUUGUCGUGAAUGAUAUGGGUCAUGGAAGUUGGAAGGACUAGCCCCUUUAGUGUUUAAACCUAUUUGCAUGCUAGAAUUGGGCUUGGUCUAAGUAGACGAAAAUGACAAGUGAAAAGAACAUGACCCCAAGUUGAACUUCUUUUGGUUUUUCUCUUAUUUAAUUAUUCUCGUUUUAUUAUUAUUCGCUAGAAGCAUGUUAGGCUGACUACACUUGGGUAGGCAGUCUUAGAAUUUUUUUUUGUUUGCUUUUAGUUGCGAGGCGAGAGACCGUUCCCUUAGUUAAAUUCAUCCCGGGAAUGCUCCGAAGGACUUGUAUAUAUUUUAUUCUGGGGUAUUCCCCGAAGUAUUUGUAAAUGGAGACGAAAAAUAGAAACUUGUAGUAUUUUUAUUUUAUUUUCAUUCUUCUUUUUCUUUCAUUUAGGCGGGAACGACCUUGAGCCUCUUCGUGUUUGCUUUCCCUUUUUCUGUGUAUUACCUCAAUUGAUUAUUUUAAAAGCCAACUUGAUCGAGUAUGCAACCGACUAGUUACAGGACUUGGGGAGUGCCUAACACCUUCUUCCCGAGUCAAAGGAACCCCCUUACCCGAAUCUCUGGUGCGGACUUGAUUUUAGAGCCUGAAACAUUUUAAAAGGAAAAAUUAUUUUUAAAACGGUGACCUGACACGCCGAAAUCAAAUGUCAGGUGGCGACUUUGAAUUUAUUUCCUUUUGAAAUACAAUUUUUGUCACCUUUUCAAAAUUGAAAACCCUUUUCAAGCUUUAUUUAAAUCUUUUUAUUUAUUUAAGAGGGUUUAGUGAGAGUUUGGUUUUUUUAAAAAAGGGGUGUGACAGCCGCUUUGUCUUUCUGUUUGCAUCCGUACCAACUUUUUCACAUAACUUCAGCCCAUGGGGCUGAAGUGUUUCUUUUGUACUGGAAAACUUAAGCUGGAAACGACUGAAGUUUAAUUUGUAUUUUAUAAUUGGACAACUUAAGCUGGAAAUGGCUUAAGUGUUUAUUUUAUAACUGGAAAAUUUAAGCUGGAAACGGCUUAAGUGUUUAUUUUAUAACUGCACAACUUAAGCUGGAAAUGGCUUAAGUAAACUUAAACUCUAGAGCUUAAGUAAAAGAUCAACUGAAGUUGCAAACAGAAAGAUAAAGCGGGCACAAGUUAAAAUGUGGCAUAAAAAACGGAUACGGCUACAAAUGCCCCGAUCCGCCUCCGCUAAUAAUUAAAGAAUUUGAAACAUAAAUAAGCUGGGGUUUUUAAAUUUAUUUGGCUAAUCGUCGUUAGCAAACACACACACAUACAUAUCUAUAUUUAUAUUAUUAUAAAAGUACGAAUAAUUUAUGUUAAAUAUUGAACGACUGAAAUAUCUUCGAAAUAUUAAUCGAUUUUUAUGCCCUUAAAUAUUUAUAUAAUUUAAGAAUCUAAUUGUAAAUUAUUGAAUGAUUGAAAUUCUUUUUGGAUUUAAACUACACAUGUGUUGGCACUACAAAGUUGGAUCCUAUUUGAAUUAGAAAGGCAUGUCCAUAAUUCCAUAAUUUUCUCUUUUUAUUUAUUUAUUUACGCAAGACUACAUAUGCAUAUAAUCAAAUUGCAUACAUGGAGUUUCACUUCUUUUUAUUUUAUUAUUUAUAUUUUUAACUGUGUAAUGUUGAUCUGAUUUGGCACAGUUCUUAAAAUUUAUUUAUUAUUGGAGAUUUUUUCGCUAUUAAAUUUUCUCCUUUUUGCUUGAAGAAGUUGAAGAACAACGAUUUUCAGAUAAUUUUUCUAAUUUUUCUCCCUAUCUAACACAUAGUGCAUGAUAAGCAUAACUAUAUUUGAUUGUUUGCAUCACACACCAUAUUAAUUAACGAUGAUGCCAAGCCAAUACUGACCAAGAAAAAAAAAUCAGAUUCUAUUAUAGGAACAAUGCCAAAUAUUUCUUUCCAGUAAGUUGCCUCGUCAAUCUCUAAGUUCUAUCUUCUAUCCUUUAGUAGCAAUUGAACUCAAAGUUCAAACUUCGUCCCAUUCAUAUUAAAUAUCGUUAAUAAUUGAUUGCUAAAGAGUAAUAAUUGAUGGUUUAUUUGAUUGCUAAAGAGUAAUAAUUAUGUUUCUGACACCACCUUGUUGAUAUCAAUUGAAGUGCAACUACAAAUAUACAAUAACAACUACCCAGUAUAGUCCCACAAAGUGAGGUCUGAGGAGGGUAAUAUGUAGACGAGCCUUACCCCCACCCGAAAGGGCUGAGAGGCUGUUUCUAAUCGACCCUCGGCUCAGUGAAGGAAAGGGAAAAACAAAAACAAAAACAAAAGAGCAACUACAAAUAUAGACAAAUAAUAUUAAAUAUUAAGAAAUAGACGAUCAAAUAAAAUAUGUUUAUACCUUAUAAAUAAAAGUAACGCAAUUACAACUUAUAUCUUUUAUCUUCUGAAAUAAUUUACAAUGUUCAUCGCGUGAAAAUAACAUGUCUGCAUUAAAAAUUAGAGCCUAUCGAACAUGCUUUGUUCUUUAAUUUAAAAAUAAAUAAAGAAAGAAAGUGAGAAAAUUAAAGAACUCGUGUCAAAUAUCUUCACAUUAGAAUUUUUUUGGUGCAUAUAUCCCUGAAAAGCACGUGGAAUAAGAACUUUGAGGUGAUUGGAGAAUAGUAAUAUGUUAAUUUUCUUAUAAUUUCAUUGUCAUUUAUCGUAAGUGUAGAAAUGACUUGUUCUUUAAUUAAUCAAAGUUAGUGGUUGUUAAUUUUCUCAAUUCACGUUGACCUCGUUAAAGGACAAUUUGUAAUUUGAGCCCCCAUUGGCUAUACUAAAUUACCCUACUUUUUUUUAAGUUCCAUAUGAUACACAACUCAUAAGUUCUUUUCAAUUAGGUUAGGAAAUGGUCUAUUCUUGAUUUUAGUAGGCUCUAUUAGUUUCUUUUUAUAUGAUUGUGCAUAAAGUAGCUUUCUUUAACCUAAUUAUAAACCCAUUUGGGAAACAGUAUGUGAUUGAUGAAGGACAUGUGAUAUAUUUUCUAAUAUUUUUGUAUUGGUCUAAAAUCUGACCAUACGAUCAAGACGGUGACGACCGCAUCCUAAUUAACUCACGAGGGUAGUCAUCAAACUCGACUCCGGCUCGUUAUUACUAUUUUCAAAACAAGCGACGAAGUCAAUAUCUCUCCACGACGAAAUAACAUCUCUCCCUCCCGACCAUGAAAAUCGUGAUAAGCUUAGGGGAUUUCCCUUUUUGACUAUAUAUACAAGAUAAGAGAGCUAAAAAGGGGCUUCGGCCCCAACCUUCUUCUCCAUCACUCAAAUUCCCCUAAAAGGGGAUAGCAUAACUCCAUGAAGGGAACCUUGAACCUACGGGCAAGGAGAAACCAAUACUUCAACUACCAUGAGGGGCAAUAUGAUUGUAAUUCCUUGAUUUCCGAUUCAUUGAGAAUCAGGUUUGACUAUGAUUUACUCAUUCAUCUCUUUUGAUUAAUUUGCUUAAAAAGUAUCUUUCAACUUUUGAGCCAAAUAAUUUUCAUGCAUGUAUAUCUUGGUAAUUAAUUCUAGGGUUUACACGUGAAUAUUAAUUUUUUAAUAUUUUUCUAUCUCAUUUUUUGGUUUAUCAAGACGAUAAUUUAUCAAGUUUUAACUCUGAUAUUGCGUAAAAGAAUCUAAACAUCUAUCAUAAAAUCUUAAGUCAAUUGGUAAAACAACUCAUGGCCAUUACUCUAAAUCCUUUUGAAAACUCUUUACACAAUUGAUGAGGGCCAUGAUAAAAACUACAUAUAUCUAACAUUUUUAUUGCUUGUAAUGAAAGUAGGGAAAGAACAAAGAAUUCACGAAAGAGGCCCAAGGAGAUUUUCAAAAGGGAUUUUUACAUAUACAUCCCAUAUAACAAACCUUAUAACCACUCAUGUUUAAGGU